rnacentral:miRNA from 1 species
UGGACGGAGAUCUGAUAAGGAC